rnacentral:lncRNA from 1 species
CCUCAGUCUUUUCGCGCAUAACUUUCAUACCCUCGACGACUCUACGAUUCUUCUACAUUCGACGUUCAUAAAUCUACAACUUCCAGUGACUUUAACUGUAUAUUAUCAUCUUCAACCUUAUAUUGUCCUCCUCCUCCUAUACACAAAACAUAUUUUAUUUACUUUAUAAAAGCUGUAGAAUCUGAAAUUGAAGCAUAUUAGCUAGACUGAAGGAUGGAAAUAAGGGAAAGAAGAUAGAGAAGACACAAGAUAGAAGAGGUAAAAGAAAACAAGGGGAAAGCCCCGUGGAAACUCCUCAAAAAGACAAAAAGCAUCUAGGCCAGGCAAAAAAAAACAAAAAAAAAAAAGGUCCGCGAACAAGGUAUUUUCAAUUUUUUUUUUUUUCCGUUUUUUGUUCAUUUGAGUUAUAUGUAUGUAAUCCAAAAUUGAUGGAUAACAAGUAUUGCAAAUGUAUUGGACAUUUAUGGCCUUUAUUCAGUUCAAUUUUAGUAGCAAAGGAAAUUGGUGAGGGUCUUCACUUGAAAGUAUUGUUUUAU